UCCUCAAUAGCUCAGCGGUAGAGCAGUAGGCUGUUAACCUAUUGAUCGUAGGUUCGAAUCCUACUUGGGGAG
rnacentral:tRNA from 1 species